rnacentral:rRNA from 1 species
AUUGAACGCUGGCGGCAUGCCUUACACAUGCAAGUCGAACGGCAGCACGGGUGCUUGCACCUGGUGGCGAGUGGCGAACGGGUGAGUAAUACAUCGGAACGUACCUUAUCGUGGGGGAUAACGCAGCGAAAGCUGUGCUAAUACCGCAUACGCCCUGAGGGGGAAAGCGGGGGAUCGCAAGACCUCGCGCGAUUAGAGCGGCCGAUGCCUGAUCAGCUUGUUGGUGGGGUAAAAGCCCACCAAGGCGACGAUCAGUAGCUGGUCUGAGAGGACGAUCAGGCACACUGGGACUGAGACACGGCCCAGACUCCUACGGGAGGCAGCAGUGGGGAAUUUUGGACAAUGGGGGCAACCCUGAUCCAGCAAUGCCGCGUGAGUGAAGAAGGCCUUCGGGUUGUAAAGCUCUUUUGUCAGGGAAGAAACACCGGCUCUAACACAGUCUGGGAAUGACGGUACCUGAAGAAUAAGCACCGGCUAACUACGUGCCAGCCGCCGCAGUAA